rnacentral:rRNA from 1 species
UGGGGAAUUUUGGACAAUGGGCGCAAGCCUGAUCCAGCAAUGCCGCGUGCAGGAUGAAGGCCUUCGGGUUGUAAACUGCUUUUGUACGGAGCGAAAAGGUCUGCCCUAAUACGGUGGGCUCAUGACGGUACCUGAAGAAUAAGCACCGGCUAACUACGUGCCAGCAGCCGCGGUAAUACGUAGGGUGCAAGCGUCAAUCGGAAUUACUGGGCGUAAAGCGUGCGCAGGCGGUUAUGCAAGACAGAGGUGAAAUCCCCGGGCUCAACCUGGGACCUGCAUUUGUGACUGCAUCGCUGGAGUGCGGCAGAGGGGGAUGGAAUUCCGCGUGUAGCAGUGAAAUGCGUAGAUAUGCAGAGGAACACCGAUGGCGAAGGCAAUCCCCUGGGCCUGCACUGACGCUCAUGCACGAAAGCGUGGGGAGCAAACA